GAUAUGGGCAGUAUUGAUUGAUGCUGGGAUUGGGGCAGUAUUGAUCAAUGCUGGGAUUGGGGCGGUAGUGAU